ACUUAAAUAGCUUAUUUUAGAGCGCGACACUGAAGAUGUCGAUGAGGCAUAAUAUGCCUUUGAGUA
rnacentral:tRNA from 1 species